AUUGAACGCUGGCGGCAUGCUUUACACAUGCAAGUCGAACGGCAGCGCGGGCUUCGGCCUGGCGGCGGGUGGCGAACGGGUGAGUAAUUCAUCGGAACGUGCCCAGCAGUGGGGUAUAGCCCGGCGAAAGCCGGAUUAAUACCGCAUACGACCUGAGGGUGAAAGCGGGGGAGCGAAAGGCCUCGCGCUAUUGGAGCGGCCGAUGUCGGAUUAGCUAGUUGGUGGGGUAAAGGCGUACCAAGGCGACGAUCCGUAGCUGGUCUGAGAGGACGACCAGCCACACUGGGACUGAGACACGGCCCAGACUCCUACGGGAGGCAGCAGUGGGGAAUUUUGGACAAUGGGGGCAAGCCUGAUCCAGCCAUGCCGCGUGCGGGAAGAAGGCCUUCGGGUUGUAAACCGCUUUUGUUCGGGAAGAAAUCCUCUGGGCUAAUACCCCGGGGGGAUGACGGUACCGGAAGAAUAAGCACCGGCUAACUACGUG
rnacentral:rRNA from 1 species